AAAGAUUUAGUUUAACUUAAAACAUUAGCUUGUCAGGUUAAAAUUAUUGAUAUAAGAUAAUCUUUA
rnacentral:tRNA from 1 species